rnacentral:lncRNA from 1 species
GACAUGCCCAAAUAACGUACAAGGACAACAUGAUGCUGCACCCCAUGGCCUUAAGUUGUGCUGGAGAGGUUCAGGUUGGAUAUUAGGAAACAUUUUUUUUCUGAAAGAGCAGUGAGGCAGUGGCACAGGCUUCCCAGGGAGUGGUGGAGUCACUGUGCCUGGAGGUGUAUGAGAAAAGUGUAGAUGUGGCACUGAGGGAUGUGGUUUAGAGCAGUCACAGGCAUGGGCUAGUUGGACUAGAUUCUCUUACUGGUCUUUCCAACCUUAAUGAUUCUGUCAUUCUGUGAUUCUAUGAGGUCCUGCCUGGUACCUGCCUUCAUGCUAUCACCUCUCUUCCUUAUGGCCUUGAUGAGAUUUUUGGGAGAAGGGAGGGGAGUUCUACCAUCUCUGAAGCAGAGAGAGAGAAAAAAAGAAAAGAUAAAAGGUACAGUUUCAAGACCCAGGUCAGAGUGAAUUACUGAGUCUGAGAGGCGCAGGGCAACCAAAGGGACAGGAGUACAUGGCAUCCCAUGACUGUCAGGGAACAAG